rnacentral:lncRNA from 1 species
GUCAACCGCCCAACGGCUGAGGAGUGCGGCAGCGCGCCAGAGACUGGCGGGCAGCUCCGCCCGCGGCCGGGAUGCACUAGGCAAAGCCAGCUGGGCUCCUGAGUCCGGUGGGUACUUGGAGAACUUACUACGUCUAGCUGGAGGAUUGUAAAUGCACCAAUCAGCAUGCUGUGUCUAGCUCAAGAACUCAAGCUCCAUGAGGAGAUGUUUCAUUGUCGAGAGCAGUCAUGAUGGCCUGCACUCCACACAAUGCAACAGAGUGAAAGAGCAGGUUCUGCUUCUUUGGUGUAGUCCUGAAGCUUCCUAAGAAACUUCACAUCAGGUGAUGGAUAGGAGCAACCCUGUAAAACCAGCCUUAGACUAUUUUUCAAACAGGCUGGUGAAUUACCAGAUCUCCGUCAAGUGCAGUAACCAGUUCAAGUUGGAAGUGUGUCUUUUGAAUGCAGAAAACAAAGUCGUGGACAACCAGGCUGGGACCCAGGGCCAGCUGAAGGUGCUGGGUGCCAACCUCUGGUGGCCGUACCUGAUGCACGAACACCCCGCCUACCUGUACUCGUGGGAGGAUGGUGAUUGCUCACACCAAAGCCUUGGACCCCUCCCAGCCUGUGACCUUUGGGACCAACUCCACCUACGCAGCAGACAAGGGGGCUCUGUAUGUGGAUGUGAUCCGUGUGAACAGCUACUACUCUUGGUAUCGCAACUACGGGCACCUGGAGUUGAUUCGGCUGCAGCUGGCCGCCCAGUUUGAGAAUUGGUGUAAGACAUCACAAUCCCAUUAUUCAGAGCGCGUAUGGAGUGGAAACGCUUGUAGGGUUUCACCAGUCUUUCCCAGGGAACUCCGAUGAAGUGUUCCAACAAAAUGAGCGAGUGAACCAAGAAGAGGAUGACAUUAGAUCCAGGAGAUACAACAGAGGAGAUAAUCUCCAGGAUGCCUGUGAAGAAAGAUCCCUGGAUCCCAGGAUGAUUAUAGGACAAGUUGUUCAUAAUCCAGCAGGCCAGAAGACUUCCAGGGAAACUCAUU